rnacentral:lncRNA from 1 species
UAACCAGUUAAUUUAUACUGACUUUCAAGAGGAGGCACAGGUAACUCUAGACAAAAUAAAGAAACUAGUUUAUUCUCAGCAGUAGGGCGGGUCAAACUUUGUGACCUCACCACUGAGUAUUUUUGCCAUUAGCUUCUGAUAGGAAGGAUAGUUUAUGAGGUAUGUUGCUGCUGUGGGGGUACAAAAUAAACGGAUUUGCCCCAGUGUAGGGCUGGGGGCUAACUAGAAAAGAUGUUCAGUUGUGUGUCCCACACAAGCAUUUUAUAGGCUCAGUACCAUUCCUCCUCCAUUUAAUUACCUGGUUUUAAUCUAAGAUAUUGGUGAAAAACAUGGAACUCUGGUUCAAGUUUCCAUUCACUGGUUGUGGACUCACAGGACUGUGGAGCUAUUCACCAUCUCCAGAAGGAACUGUUUAUGUCCAGAAGCUAUCUGGGCCAAUAAAUUUCCUGACAUGGGAGUCUCCUAAAAUGAUUCAUUCUUCCACCUGUGAAACAAGAACCAAGCUCUCCCACUUCAAGACUAAGCAAGUAGACAGAUCAGCCAGACAGAGAAGUGAGGUGAGAAGAUGGGAGGUGGGCAUCCAUGGCAAAGAAAACAACUGCCUCAUUUCUUCCUCUUUCCCACACCAUCCCCUUUCUUCCUGUUCUGGACACCUAGAACCCCAUCC